rnacentral:rRNA from 1 species
CCUACGGGGGGCAGCAGUGGGGAAUAUUGCACAAUGGGCGGAAGCCUGAUGCAGCGACGUCGCGUGAGGGAUGGAGGCCUUCGGGUUGUGAACCUCUUUCUCCGGUGGUGAAGGCCCUGUCCGUUGCGGCGGGGUUGACGGUAGCCGGGUAUGAAGCGCCGGCUAACUACGUGCCAGCAGCCGCGGUGAUACGUAGGGCGCGAGCGUUGUCCGGAAUUAUUGGGCGUGAAGGGCUUGUAGGCGGCCGGUCGCGUCCGCCGUGAAAUUCUCCGGCUCAACCGGGGGCUUGCGGUGGGUACGGGCCGGCUGGAGUGCGGUAGGGGAGGCUGGAACUCCUGGUGUAGCGGUGGAAUGCGCAGAUAUCAGGAGGAACACCGGUGGCGAAGGCGGGUCUCUGGGCCGUUACUGACGCUGAGGAGCGAAAGCGUGGGGAGCGAACAGGAUUAGAUACCCUUGUAGUC